rnacentral:lncRNA from 1 species
AUAAUUUUGUGUUUAUUAAUAAAAUAACAUACAGAAUAAUUUUAUCACUUAAAAAACAAAACAUACAAACAAUACGCUAUAAGCAUUAUAUAAUAAGUACGUCACAAAACAACUGAAAUGAUACAACUACAAACAUCUUAACAGAUACAGACUCGUUUAGAAAAAUUCAAAUAUGAAUGAUGAAGAAAAAAUUUUAUAUAAGUUUAUUGAAAAUAAAAUUCUUUUAAAACAAUUCUCAGAAGAAUAUGUCAAAAUCAAAAGUACUGUACAACUAUUAACCCAAGAAUGCAGCAAACAGAAAUUAAAAAAUUGUGAAUUAGAAAAUGAAAUAGAAAAGUAUAGAGCCACAUUGAAUUCUGUUGAGAAAAAAAAAGAUCGAGAAAUUGAGAAUAAUAAUUUUGAACAUGAUUUGAAAAUUAAAAGGUUGGAAAAACAAAUUAAUUUUUUAAAUUCAUGUUUAACUAAAGAGAAAGAAAAUUACAAUUCCAAAAUGAAAGAAUUUAUAAAUCUUAAAUUGGAAAAUGAUAAAUAUAAAUUACAAUUAACUAAUAAUAAUAGUGAUAAUAAUAAUAGUGGUAAUAAUAGUGAUAAUGUUAAUAAUAAUAAUGAUAAUAGUGAUAAUAUUAAUAAACAAAAUAAUAAUAGUAAUAACAUUAGUAAUAAUCAUCAUAUACGUACACAAGACAACUUAAUAAAAGAUGAUAAAAAAAAAAAAAACAUAAAAGCUGGUGAUGGCGAACAAAAUGUAGAAGAAAAUAAUGACAAAGUAUUAAAUCAAAUUUAUGAAGACAUGAAGCAUAAAAUUGAAAAUAUGAAAAAUAAUUUAAUUGAAACUGAAAAUUCAAGGCAUUUUUUAGAAGAAAAAAUAAAAGAUUAUGAUACAUUACUAAAUGAGUAUUUAAAAAAAAUAACAACAAUCAAUUUAAAAUAUGAAGAAUUUUAUAAAUUAUAUAAAGAAGCCGAGCACAAAAACACUCUGAACAAAUCUAAAAAAAAAGUGUUAAAACGUAGAAUAGAAGAAUUAAAAAAUUUAAAUCAAAGUUUAUCAAAUCAAAUUGACACACUAAAAAAAGACAUUAA